rnacentral:lncRNA from 12 species
UCUGUUUUUUGAAUGGCUGUCUGAGGUGUUUCUGUCUUCUGAUUGAAAGUCUGAGCUGUAUCUGUGUUCUGAUUGGCUGUGGUCUGUGUGUGUCAGACGCAGGGCGUGGUUCUCCCGUCCCCCGUGCAGGAGGCGGUUCUGCAGCAGGUGUUUGACAGGGCCAAUCUGACCACAUUACCAGACGCUGAUCUGCAGANGACACAAUUUGUCGAUUAUCAAACUAAUCAUUAGUUUGUGGUGCAUGAAUGUGGAAUAAUAUGUAUUUUUUUCUUCAAUAAAUAAAAGUAAAAUUUGGCCUUUUACACAUUAUUCAUAGAAACAAUUAUCAGAUUAAUCGUUUCAAAAACAAUCAUUCAUUUGAAGUCCUAAUUCUGAUGGCUCGUUCGUGCUGCAUGAAUGUGGAAUAACAUGUUUUCUCCCAAUAAAAGAAACAAAAUUAAAUAUAUAUUUUAUCCAAUUAAUCGAUUAUCAAAAUAAUGUUUAGUUUCAGCCCUAGUUCUGAGAGGGCAUUUGUGAAAUAUCUGUGUUCUGAUUGGCUGUCUGAGGUGUCUCUGUGUUCUGAUUGGCUCUCUGAGGUGUCUCUGUGUUCUGAUUGGCUGUGGUCUGUGUCUGUCAGACGCAGGGCGUGGUUCUCCCAUCCCCCGUGCAGGAGGCGGUUCUGCAGCAGGUGUUUAACAGGGCCAAUCUGACCACAUCAUCAGACACUGAUCUACAGUUCUGGAUCCUGAACAUACUGCCGUCCUUCAUAGCCAACAUUACAGUCCAACACGUGACGUCCUACUUCAGCAUCGUCCAGCAGCGACCCUGUCCCAUCAGCCAGCAGGCGGUGCAGCUGUUGAACUCGUCCAGCUCCACCUUCCAGCCGGAGACACAAGAUCAGAUCUACCAGCUGAUCCUCGGCUCUCUCACAGGUGUCCAUCCAUCUGUCCAUCCAUACAUGUAUUCAUCCCUCCAUCCACUUAUCCAUCAUCCCUCUGUCUCCACAGGCCCCGCCCCGCUGCGCUGCUAUGGUGACCAGAGCUACUAUGCUUUCCUGAGCUCCUCCUUCAUGAGUUUCCAGUUCCCCGAUCUGACCACCUUCCUGUCUCUGAUGCCGUCGGCCCGCGUGCCAGAGGUCAGAGACAUCACACCGCCUCCACCUGCCGAUUACUGAUUAGAUCCAAUGAUAGAGUCCUGAAUGAGCCAGUAGCUGAAGGUUAUGGUCAUUUCUUUAAAUCAGUGAUUCUCAACCAGGGGUCCAUGUGGGAGCCUGAAGAUGACCCUAACUGUCCAUAGAUUAUAAUUAGAGGGGAACCUCUGAAUAUUGUUGUGGACAAUGGGGGUCAAACAUUUUGAGAACCGUUGCUUUAGAGAAAAACAUUUUUAAAUGUGCACCAAAUCACUAAGCACACCUUUAACUCGUUAUAUUGUCCGCUCUGCUGUUGUUUGACGUGUGUCUCCUCACAGCUGAUGGAGUCGGUGUCUCCAGCGGAGGUCAGCAGUCUCCUCAACCGGCCCAACGCUGUGGACGAUGUUACCCAAAUCUGCCGGUUUUUCAGAAUUUACCCAAAGACACCCCAGUACUUACAGACGGUAUGGACAUCUGUCACUCCUUUAAAAGUUUAUAAACUAAUGUAAUGACUCUCUAGAUUUAAACCUGAUAAUAUCUGGUUCUGAAAACCUUAUAUUAACCGCUCAUGUCGUUUAGCAGCUUCUGAAUUCCUCUCAUUUACUGUGAAAUGUCCAAAGCAGCUCCGGUUUAUAGUCCUAACUGUGACGCGGUAGCAGUAAAUGAAGAAGCGUCUCUCUGUGUGUCCUGCAGGAGCCGCUGUUGCCCGUGGGUUUGGCCCGGCAGGUGUUGUCCUGCGUCUGGCCUCAGGUUCUGAAGCUGGACGUCCAGUCUGAGGUGAAUCAGUGGUUUGAUCUUCGACUGGUUCAGUACCUGCCUCUCCUCACCCCACAGUUCAUCGCUCCAGACGUCAUGCUAAACGCCUCCUGUCUCUCCUUCAAGAAGUUGUGAGUAGCAGGUUGCCCACAUCACAUUGCUGUGCAGUCACAUCAGAGAAAUUCUGGAGAGAUUUUGCAGACAAAAAAGGUCCGUGCAGUAGGGUAGCGAUGUACCGUACGAAGCACAGCUCACUCAGAAGUCCCUUUCACAGAGCUCUGGUUAGUGUGACCGUACCUUCACUAUGUGUUCCAGUUGUGUAAAGACUUUGUUCUUCACUUAGGGGUAAACGUUUCAGAUGCAAACUCCAAAUGAACUUAAUUUUGGCCUAAUUUUGUUCAAAAUAACGUCACAUCAGGUUGUUCUUUAAUUUCGCUAGAAUCUCAUCGAGGCUUAGUGCAACUAGUUUUCUUCCUAAAGACAUCUAACGAUGACAGAUUCUGUGCGUUUCUCUGUUUAGUGUUUCAGUGAUGGCUAAUUACAACUACACUGCAGCGGAGUUUUCUCCGAGUGACAUCUACAACACCAUCCUGGUCUACCUCAACACCUGUGAGUCGCUCUGAUCGACAGCGUGACUGAUUCUGCUGUCCAGUAAUGUGAGGGUUUGUCUGAUGCUGAGUCACGUUUGUCUUUGUGUUCUCAGCCUCAGAUUCAACUCCUAAAUGCUAUAACACCUCCAACCCUGAUCUCAGCUCCACCGCCUGGUUCGCAGACUACAUCUCCGUCUUCUUGAGCUUCGUCACACUGGAUGACCUCCUCCAGUUUGGCUCCAUUCAGGUGUGUCAACUCACAACUUGAAGAGAUCUCAGAUCUGUUUUCUGUCGUCUGAAUCCGAUCACUCUUAACGGAAUAGUUCAUCUUCACUCUAAUGUCGUUCCAAACUCAACGUGUUUGUUUUUCAGCCGUUCCUCGUGAACCUGGAGAACCUGCAGCUCUUCGGUCAGACCAGCGUUCCUGAUGACGUCAUGGAGUACUACGUGACCCUGCUGUUCGAGGCGAAUCCGUCCUUCAGCGCCUACUAGUGAGAGACAUCAACAACACUCUCAAUAACCAAUCUCACACUGAAAAUAAAGCUUCCCAAAGCAGGUUUUCACAGUGAUGCCAUUUAAAAGAACCAUUUGGGUUUCCCAAAGAACCUUUCAGUUAACAGUUCUUAAUAGAACCAUCGUUUCUUAGUACAAAGAAUAUUUUAAGAACAUUUUUUCCAUUUUAAAGAAUCUUUUGUGCGAUGAAAAAGAUUCCAUAAAUGUGAAAGGUUCUUCAUGGAAUGGAUAAUAUCAAUAAAGAAGCUUAAUUUUUAAUAGUGUACAUGAAAAGUCAUUUAAAUCCAGCUAAGCCACUCUCAUCAAAUGAAGGCUUGUUCAAAUCUCACAUAACACAUUUAUUAACAAUACUAUCAUUUGAAAAAUCCCCCCUGAGAAGGUUGGUCUGGUUUGAUGGUUUUGGCCACUUGUCUGUUGGACCAUCUUAACUAUAGAUCAGUUUAGACCAGCAAACCAACCAAGGCUGCUUAAUGUGUGCUUGUGUUCACAGUCUUCCUCAGAAGUUCCUCUGCUUGGCUCCUGCGAGCUCCUUCCUUCAGCUGAGUCUGGAGCAGCUGAAGAACAUCUCAUCCAGCGUCCAUCAGAACUGCACAGAUGUUCUACCUGAUGUAUGUACUAGUGUGUGUGUUUAUAUCAGCAGAAGUAAGCUCUGUAUAAGCUAGACGUGUGUGUGUGUGUGUGUGUGCAGGUGUCGGCGGCUCUGGCCAGUAACGCAGGGGAUCUGACGGUGAGCGCCAUCGAGGCUCUGGGUCAGUCGUCCACGGGUUUGAGCACGGCUCAGAUCAGCGGCGCUGGAGGGAACUUGCUGCUCAACACGCUCUCCGUGCUCAGUCUCGUUCAGGACUGGAACCUCGAUCAGGCCAUGAUGAUCAUCCAAACCCUGUUGUCGUCUGGAGUUUACCAGGUACACACCACCAAUACCUCUCAAAGCCUUACGUGUCUCUGACUGAUGUUUCAUUCCUGAAUGAAUCAGUGGUGUUACACGAAUGGGUUCAAUCAAAGAUUCAUUGACUCACAUAUAAAGACUGUUACUUGUUUAAUUCCUGAAUGGAUCAGGGUUGUUGAAUAAACCGUGAUUCAGUGACUCACACACAGUAAUCUCUGCCAGUUUAAUUCCAGUAUGGA